rnacentral:rRNA from 1 species
UACGUAGGGGGCAAGCGUUGUCCGGAUUUAUUGGGCGUAAAGAGCGUGUAGGCGGCCUGAAAGGUCAGCUGUGAAAACUCGAGGCUCAACCUCGAGACGUCGGUUGAAACCAUCUGGCUAGAGUCCGGAAGAGGAGAGUGGAAUUCCCGGUGUAGCGGUGAAAUGCGUAGAUAUCGGAAGGAACAUCAGUGGCGAAAGCGACUUCCUGGACCAAUACUGACGCUCAUGUGCGAAAGCGUGGGGAGCAAACAGG